rnacentral:lncRNA from 1 species
AGUUAUAUAAGCAACCUUUAUGCACUUUCCCUCCAUAAUAUAAGCAACCUUUAUGCAGUUUCCCUCCAUAAUAUAAGCAACGGUUACUCAGUUUCCCUCCGUAGAUCUUCACCAAACAGCCCUGAUCUUAAAAUCUUUGCAUAAAAAUAACCCCUUGGACAUAGAUCAGGAGGAAGCUUCCUAGGUACCAUCCUCCCGAGUCCUACCUUUCUGUCUUUGUUAUUCAAGCAACCUUUUCUCAGUUUCCCCCCACACAUCUUACACCAAACAACCCUGAUAAUUUAACUCUCUUGGAAGCUGUGUUUCAAACCACAUCCAUGGCUUCCAAGAACCUCCAGAAUAUCAUUCUUCUCUACAAGAUCAUUCUCAUUUGUGGGCUGUGUUUGGUUUACUCAAAAGCUGAACUUCAAAGGUUUGAACAUCCCAUCAAACCUGAUGGAUCGCUCAGUAUUUUGGUUGUUGGAGACUGGGGAAGAAGAGGAGCUUAUAACCAAACAGAAGUUGCAGCUCAGGUUCUUAUUUUUCUGUAUUUAUGGAAACAAUAUUUUCUUGAUUACAGUUGGCCGGAUGAUAUUUAGAUGAAAUUUUUAGAUGGUUUGGUAAAUAUUCUGGGCUCCACGAAAAGAAAAAAAGAUAAUAUAAGUUUAACAAGUCUUUUUUUUUUUUUUUUUUUUCUGACGGAGUGGGUAUCCGGGUCAAUCCUUACAGGGCUCCGACUAAUCCCACUCCGGCCCGGACAGGAGCCCCACUCCACUCGAGCACGGUGACAAGGGGGCUCGAACCCUGGUUGCCCAGGAAAGUCCACCAUACCCUAAAGAGGGGGAGCGGACCAUUCGAGCUGACCCUUGGGGGCUUAAGUUUAACAAGUCAUUGCUAAUUGUUCUUGUGGGGUUUGAAAAUUUCCAUUAAAUUAUGAGGUAGAUAAAAAGAAAUAAAUGUUGUCAUAGUCAUUAUUGCAGUUUGGUAUUAGACUGCAUUAGUUUUGGACACAAGGAUAAAUAUAUGACGCAUAUAUUUUGCUGCGUUGAGCGCAUAUUUCAGCUCAGAUGUUUUCAUGAUUCUUCCCGUUUUGGUCGGAACUGAUUGUAACCAGACAAUCUCUGGACAUUUUUAAACAAAAAAUAUGAAUGACAAAAUCCUAAAAGAAGAAAAGAUUAACAACGUCAAGUUUAGGGUAUUCACAGUGGAUUACACUCAAUCCACAUCAGCAGUUUACUAUCUCCUCUUUUAUUAUACUUUUAUUCACAAUGGAUUGCAUUCCAUACGAUAUAAUAGUAUGGGUUGAUAAUCAAAUCAAACAUUUAUUUGGAGCAUUUAACAUAUUUCUAAAACUACUAAAAUUUUCAUCCAUAAUCACAAAAUAUUAAAUUUUAUAAAAUUGCGCAAAGAGAUUGAGAGAAAAAUGAGUGAGAAUAAGGGAAAUAAUAGAGUAGGAUAGUGAGAUAUAAAAAAACGAAGGUGUCUUGUAUGUUUAUGUAGAGAGAAUAAAAAAAUAACCGUUGAAAAAAAAAUUGAAAAUUAACUAGCACAAUGAAAUUUUAGCUGUUGUCUAUGUUUAACCAAAUUUAUCCGUUGGAAAAAAAGGAUCCAUUAUCUCCUCUUUUUUAGCAGCAUUUACAUGCAUCAUUCUGAUGAUGCGUGUUGUUGGAAUUGAGUUUUAUCCGGUCAACGUGUAAUCACAAUGGGUGGCCAUGUAAUGAGUGGGGGUCAAAUAAAAUGUAACUUUAAAAUUUUUAAAAUUUUCUAAACCUAAAAUUUAAUUUUUUCAAAGUUAAGCGGGGUCAAUUGACCCCACUUGCUUACAUCGCCACUGUGUGUGUGUGUAAAAUUGUUAUUUUAAAAUUCAUGCAUCAAGUUUAUUAUCACAAAAAUUCUAAAUCUACAUCUUUUUAAUCUUAAAUUUACAAGCUAUAUAAGUUUUAUUGCGCACAAUACAAGUCCUUGAUGCAUUCAAGGCAUGAAUUUUAUAACAUGAGAGUGUCAAUUAAUUUAGGGUAUUAUCGAGUUUAGUUUUUUUAUGCCAUACCAUUACCAUGCGUUCUAGUUUCUUGUUUCAUAAAUAAACUAAAUAAUAGGUGUCUGAGUGGGGGUGGGUGUGAUCUGAUGAUACGUGGAUUAUGAGAAUCCAUUGGAACGAACAUGAUAUUAACACAAUAGUUCUUAAGAAAUUGUAUUAACACUGUAUUAGGUUAUAGCACAGUCAGAAAUUAACUAAAGAAUCAUCUUUUCACCGCUAAUUAAACAACAUCUGGCCAGUGCAUGACGAAACUAAACGAAAACACAUCUCAUCAUUUGCUUUAGGACAAACAUAAAAUAUAUAUAGUAUAAUAGUUCUUAAAAAAUUGUAUUGACUACGUAUUAGGUGGCAGUAUAUGAUUAGAUAUGGAAGUAAUCAACAAAAUAAUUAUCUUUUUACUCCUUAAUAAUACUUGACCAGUGCAUAACUAACCUUAGCUUUUCUCCCAUGCACGUAGCUUUCAACUUUGGUCUUGUGACGCUUUUAGCGUCCAAUUAAAGAAUGUUUCUCGUCAGCAAAUGUAUUGUUGCCAAAGUUAUUACGCUUUCGUGUUGUGGUUUCUUUUCUUCCUGGCGAAUAGGGAAUAAUUCCAUAUAGAUUCCAUUAAAAAAAAUCCAUAUAGAUUCUUUAAUUAGUCUCUCCACAUAAACAAGCAUAGGAACCUAGUGGGACGUGUGGACUAAAAUGGCACUUAUCCACCAUUGAGAAUGUUGAGAUUUUGCUAAUUUCUUUUUCAACUUGAUUUAUGCUUGAUUUAAUUCUAUAAAUAUCUAGGACAUCAAUGAUUAAACAGCAUUUUUUCCCGCUUUAGAUUUUUAUUUGUGACAAUUGAGUUUAUGUCCUUUUUCUUUUUUUUUUUCUCUUGGUCACAGUUGACCCAUGAUAAUGCGUAUUUGAAUAAGAGUUCAGUACUCUAUAAUGAUAGAAAGGAUGCUAUUUUUCUUCAUAAUCCAUCAUUCUACAUGGCAUUCACGUCUAAUAAAAUAAUUCUAUUGUAUGCAUUUAGCUUUAAGCUGAAAAUUGAACCAAAGUGGCAGAAAAAGAAGAUAAAAGUUGCAUUGUCUAAUUGUCGAAAUACUAAUGCUCCAUACUCCAGAGAAAGAAAAUGUGUUUCAUUUUUCCUUUGUAUUGCUAAGGUAAACUUCAUUAUGAUGUUAUGAAAAGAUAGAUUGAUUACAUUAAUUCUAACAGCUUAAAACAACUCACUUCGCAACUAUACAAUGUAAAAAGCCAUCUAAAACAUCUUUUGCGGAUUGCAUUUUCAUUGCUUAAGUAGCCUAUAUAUUGUGCAAGCAAUCUACAAUCCUUUGCAUCAAACAUACUACUAAUUCAUUAGAACAAGAAUUUUUCUAUUGAAAUAUCCUGCAAUUCCUCUCUUGCAAUAGAAACUAAAAAUCACUACAGUUAAUCAAAUCAAAUAUCCUAAACCAGUAAAUGCGCUAGAAAGGUGGAUAUAAAAUUAAAAAAAUGCUGAAUAGAGUCCUCAAAGAAAACACAGAGUCCACCGUUUGUCCACUAGCCUCUCCAAAACUGGUUUCUUUUUUUUUGAGUCGUAUUAGUUGUAGAUAAAAUUGUUCCCUAAACACUCCUAGAGGUUAAUUUACUCGUACUCUUUCAAUGUUAAAGGAGCUAAAUUUGCCCAUCCAUUUGCUAAUUUUGCAACCAUAAGAUCUUUAAACCCCCUUAAAUGUACAUAGCAUCUCUUUUGUUUUUCUUUUUGAGUAAAAAUGUUACAUAAACUAGACUAUAGGAAAUUGGAUGAAUCGAGAUGCUAAUGCAAAUGUAAUUAGACUAUGAUUUUGGUUUAUAUAUACUGUAUUUGUCAUCAUAGUUAUAAAAUCCAACUGGAUCAUUGAACCGGUCAAUCUAAUUAACCAGCCAUAGGAUUGGGUUAGAUUGCUAAUUAAACCAAUUAAACAACAAACCUGUUGACCAAUUAACAAUUCAGCGGUUCAACCAGUGAAUCCAAAAAAAAUCGCCAGUUGAACCCCCGAUUGAACCACCAACUUAAAAUUGUACUAAAAUUUUAAAUUAUAAAAUUAUAUUAUAAUAAUAUAUAAGAUAACUAUCAUGCAAUAUGCGGUUGAACCGCUCAACUCGCGAUUAAGCCGAUGAUCCGGAGGCCUGAUCAUCUCCCUAGAUUGAGCUCCGGACUGAAUUUAAUAACUAUAUGUUUGUUAUCCUCCAAUAGAUGGCAAAAAUUGGCGACCAGGUGGACCCAGAUUUUAUCAUUUCUACUGGAGACAAUUUUUACGAAGAUGGAUUGACCGGUGUCGAUGAUCCAGCAUUCGAGGAGUCAUUUAGCAAUAUCUAUUUGGGCCCAAGUCUGCAAAAGCAGUGGUACAAUGGUAAUUUCACGACCCAAUAUUAUAUUUUCACCCGUGCACCAUAUUUUUUCAUUAUUGUCCGCUAAUUAUUGUCCAAAUUAAUUUUGGUGCAGUUUUAGGAAACCAUGAUUAUAGAGGGGAUGUUUUGGCACAAUUGGAUCCCAUCCUCAGAAAAAAGGAUAGUAAAUGGUUAUGUCUCAGAUCUUUUAUCCUCAAUACAGGUAAUUUUCAUAUUAAUGUACUCAAAACUAUUUAAUUAGGAUACAAAUGUCAUUUUCUAAUAAGGGAAGGUGACACACCUUAAUACAUAUUUAGGCUCUGAAAUAAAGUGAUUAUUUAUUCAACGAAAACUGCAACGUCAAAAAUUAAUAAUUUUUUUUUGCAGCAAAAAGUAGUUAAAACUGGACUUGACAUUAUUUUCUGUAUCAAUUUUAAGCAGAUGUUGCGGAAUUUUUCUUCAUCGAUACAACUCCAUUCGUAGAUAAAUAUUUCAAUAACCCAAAAGAUCAUAAAUAUGACUGGAGAGGAGUGCUGCCAAGAGAGGAAUAUCUUUUUAAUUUGUUGAAGGUAAAUGAGACAUUUAUUAAUUUUUGAAUUAAUUUACUGAUGAUUUAUAGUUACCAAAGAAAAAGCUUUGACCAUUUCGAGUUUACAUUAAUUAUUUAUGCAUUAAAAAAUUUAACUAACAUUUAUAUUUAGAGCUCCAUUUCUGCAUUGCAUGAGGAAUUUUGUAUUGACAUUGAAAUCAAUUAACAAUUUCCUCUGAUCUAUCUUACCAGGAUUUAGACACUGCCCUAAAGGAAUCAAGUUUAGAUUGGAAGAUAGUUGUUGGUCACCAUACACUUAGAAGUGCUGGAAAACAUGGAAUCACAUUUGAGCUCGAGGAAAGGCUUCUUCCAGUGCUUCAGGUAAACUUGAUUAAUCCAAUUUAAUUGCACUUUUGUUGUACUUUUGCUCUAAAAACGAAAUCAUCCAUCGAUUGUACUUAUUUUAUGCACAUCAAUAAUGACAUGUUCUUUACAGAAACGGGCCAAGACCAUGAUUAUCACACUAUUCAUUAAUACAUAUAUAGAUCUUCUAAAAUGGUAAUUAAGGUUCUUAAUUUUAUGCUUAAACAUGAUCCAGACAAUAAUCUAAUCUACAAAUUUUCUAGGAAAACAAUGUUGAUCUUUACGUCAAUGGACACGACCAUUGCUUGGAACACAUCAGUAGCCCUGACAGGUAAAAUUUACAUUGCAUAUUUUUAUGAGAUUGAACAAAAUUUCAGAUGGAAAAUUAAGAACUCUUUGAUGACUAUUGCAGUCCACUCCAAUUUCUGACGAGUGGUGGAGGAUCAAAGGCAUGGAGGGGAAAUGUUCGGCCAUGGAGCCCUGAGGAGUUGAAGUUGUACUAUGAUGGGCAAGGUUUCAUGACCAUGAAGCUCACCAAGUACGAUGUUUAUAUCCAGUUCUAUGAUGUUUUUGGCAACAUUUUGCACCAAUGGAGCCGUUCAAAGGGGUUGUAUUUUGUGUAAUUAAAUAGCAUUGUAGAGGUUAAAGCUGGUUUAACCGGUUAAGAAUUGGUCAAAAUUGCUCCAAAAUGAAGACUUAAACCUAGUAGUACUUGUACCUGUGUGCUCCUUAAUUGGAGCAAUCUUAGUAGCUUCCCACAAACAGUUGGAAAGAAAAUGGUACAUAUUGUUAUUUUAGUUUUUUAAAAAUUUCAUCAAGUUCCCUUGUAGUUUGUUGAAAAAUGCCAUUAACCAAUUAGUUCAAUUGUCAAAUUCAAUAUUCUAUUGAGAAAUCAAUGAAGUAAGGGAUAGUUUUAGAAACUUCCCUCAAGGUUUCUGAUAAUGACACUUAAAUACCCUCUAAUAUCGAGAAUUACAUUGCCUUCCCUUUUCAAAUAGAUGUGACCAUGUGUCACCAUCGAUAGCUUCCAAAAUGACUAAAUUGCCCUAAAAAAGCUGUGCAUUUUCUGCUAUUGAAAAAAAAUGAGAAAAUGAAAUCGCAUCAAAUAUAAUUUUUUUCAACCUCCUGGCGCCAAUUAGGUGGUGGUAUAACAACUUGAGAGGCCAAGAUGUUAUACAGUGCCAUUAUUGUGAGAAAAAUCAAACUAACUAUGCUAAGAGAGAGCUCAAGAAACCAAAACAUCCUCAAUUUGGUGAUCCUUCAUCCAGUGUGAAAAAUCAAACUGGCUGCUGUCUUUUGCUGCUCACGUCUUCUUCUUCAUUACCAUUAUACCACUUGAAAUAGUCACAUUUGGUGUAAUAAAAAUAUAAUCUAUCUGAAUUUCUUUCACUUUCUGAAAUUCUAAUUGUUCCAUUGCAUCCGCGGUCACAAAUUCUGUUUUUGAUCCUCAACGAUGCUUUUCCAUGAAUCGAGCUCCUGUGAUAACUUGAUGAAGACAUACUUGCUCUUCAACUACUAUGCCAGUCAACAUGUACCUCUAAUACCUGAUGAAGGUCACAGCUCACUUCACAAAAAAAUGCCUUUUCUGAAAAUGGAAUGCAUAUUUUUCAGACAUUUUCUAGUUUAUAUCCUGCCAGGAUAGAGUGAUUGCAGUUGAUAGUGCAACGGCUCUUCUUGGUUUUAACAAUCAAAAGUUGACUUUUCUAUAUGUAUUCUUUGCUGUCCUGAGAGGAUCAUUGGAGGGCCAAUAGUUUUCCUUUUUUCGUUUUGUUAAUUUCAUAACAAAGUGGUACAUGUUUUCUCCUACAAAUAAUGAGCAAAUUUGGUAGAAAAUUAUGUGUCAUUACUUUUGGUGAUAGAUGGAGGACCAUAUUGGUCCAUCAACCAAACUUUGUGGGUAAAAAGUACAAGAAUCCUUUCGAGUACACUGGAAGAGAGCUAUAGGUGCCCAUAGAUGGAGGACCAUAUUGGUCCAUCAGCCAAACUUUGUGGGUAAAAAGUACAAGAAUCCUUUCUUGAGUACACUAGAAGAGAGCUAUAGGUGCCCAUAUUAAUUAUAGAUACAUGGUUUAGGCAAUAGUAUGUUAAAUCCUGGGGGACUUCUAUUAGUCUAGGAAUAUACACUCACUGGUUUCAUACUUUUGUUCUCUGACAUUAAAAAUGUAAGGCUGAGGUUAACUAAUUUAUGAAAUGCUUAGAAACAACAGGAGCCCUAGAUAUGCUGCUGAAGUAUAUACUACAUUCACUUAUCAUGCAAGUAUAUUCCGUGCCUUUCAAUGUCUUGAAAGCAGUACCUCUGCUCUGAAUCUGCCUCCUUGUCCUAUGUAGUUACUUAUUACUUCUACCAACAUUUUCAUGCAGACCAUCUUGAUCUAAUAUUUCAUAUAUUCAACUAUUUCUGCAUUUCACAUAAACCUAUGCCACGAUGCUAAAGUGGAGGAAGGUUUUCACUGGGACGGAUUUUAACUAGGGUUGAUUUGGAGCUCCUCCAGUGAAAGUAACACCAUAUAUUCAAGUAUUUCUCACUUUCACAUAAACCUAUGCUAUCAUGCAAAAACGGAGGAAGGUGUUCACUGGGACAGAUUUUAACUAGGGUUGAUUUGGUGCUCCUCCAGUGAAAAUAACGCCACUUUCAAAAGAAGUCUUGUCUCUUUCUUAAUCAAUGGUAUUACGUUCUUGGCAACUUCAAAUUCUUUCUCGGGGAAAGAAAGCAUAUUGGUCUAACAAGGGCUGUUUGAAUCUUUAAGACCUGAAAACAGUAGUUUCUUCUGAGUCCACUAACUCACCCAACACUUGAACAAAUACAUUGGCAGAUAUUGUUAAUUUAGUUUUAUAAAUUUCAUUAAGUUCCCUUGUAGCUUGAUGAAAAAUGACAUCAAUCAACUUAAUUAACUGUUAAAUUUUAUAUUCUUUUGAGAAAUCAAUGAAUAAAUUGACAUACAAAAAUUGAUAAUUUUACUUCUUGGUUUUCUCAAUUUUAAUCGUAAAUUUUUUCCUAUCGUUUGUUUACAGAUGAAGGAGACUUAGUUUGUCAAAUAUUUAAGAGCACUUGAAGGGUAUGUAUAAUCAGAAUCAAGCAUAUUAGCUCAAUCCUCACCAAAUUCCUCUUCUCUUGAGAUGGGAAACAGUAAUUGCUACAAGAAUCCAAAUCUAUUAAAUGGCAAACCUCAAUAAGAAAUCAGGCUGUAAUAACAUUAAUAAUUUUAAUCCUUAGGAGAAACCCAAUGGCCAUGGCAACCAGGGUUCACAUAAAUAAAAAUAAACAAGAAUAAAAAAAAUCAAAAUCGAAGUAGAAUAAAAUAAAUAGAUAAAUGUAAUGAUGUAAUUGAGUAUAACAGACAUUGACAAACUUACAAGAGAUAGGUGGAAUCUACCCUUGAAUGGAACAGUUUAUGACUGUCCCACAAACAAUACUUAUGGUUUCUUUAAUAGGAACAGAGUACUAAAAGUGGAUGAGCCAAUAGAUUAAAAGAAAAAAAAAGGGCAAGCGGGAGAACAUGUGGAUUGUCUACAAGUAUGCAACCCAAAAGUUCUGUCCUCCACUUCUCAAUUUCUCAUGAAUAAUAUAGUGCAAAUUAUUGAUCCCAUGUGAGAAGACCAAAAAAAUGGUGUAAAAUGGCGAAGUGCAUUGAAACUAAUGGCAAACUCCUCUGAGAAACUGGACUUUCAGUUCAGAAAUCAGAACACCAAAAUCCUUAUCUCCUCAUCUUCAUUGUCCAGUUUGCUCCUCUAGAGUUGCAUCAAAUCCAGCUACCGCAUAUCUUUCUUUAUCCUGACCAACAAAAUCAUGCACUCUUGUUUGAAGUUUGUCUGUGUUGUUUCGCUUAGGUGGGUCGACACUCGACAGAGUAUGGGAUGAUUCACUAUCCAGAUCAGCCCUGAUUUUGAUAGACGUGGAUUGAUUUGGACCAGCAAAUAUAAUUUGGGAAAAAAAAAAUCAAGUGCAAUUUGAUGAGGGUCAAGAACUAUUUGGAGCAUUUAAUUAAACAUUUACCAAGCCACUUGAAUUUUAACAUAUUGGUCAAAAAAUUAUGCCAGCUACCAAAAAUACUUGCAGAAAUUAAGUUGAAUUUUUAACUUAACGAGUCACAAAUGCCAGUUUAUGGCACAAGACUUCUGGGCACGAUUGGUUAUCUUUUUCAACAGUUGCUGCUUUUAGUUGUGAAACGGAAAACAACAAUGAGUCCAUCUAAUCGAUGUUUAUUGGGCACUCAUGACGAGCAUUUAUGAACUGUUAAAAUGUGUUUUAGGUGUAAAUUUUUAAAAAUGUAAAAUUAAUUAAAAAAUGUGUAUGAAUCUAACGAAGAGUAAUAAUUAUUAACGUGUGCAUAUAGGUAGUAAGUUAAGUAUAAUUUAGCUAUGUUAACAAAUGCCAUCGACAUAAAAAUCCAACAUAAUUGUUUGUAAUCUAUACAUCAAGUGACAAGUUGAAAAGAUUUUGUAUUCCACAUUAAAAUCACCAAAUGUACCUACCCUAGUUAUUUUUGCUCAUUGCUCCACGUGAGAUUCUCAAUAUGUACAAGACAGGAUUGGUUGUGAGCUUGCAGCCGACAUUUGAGGGACAUUGUGAGUUAGUUUGUUAUAGCAACUUAGGCAAGGAAUCUUAGGCAUAGAAUACAGUAUUUCCGAAGGCAAUCUAAAAACAAAAUAGACAAUGGAAUUUGAAGUCCGGUAAGUGGAAAAUUUUCCUUUUUUAUUUUUUUCCUGCUUUAACUGGGACAAUAGGAUGUUUAAUUAUUAAAAGAUAUUUUAGUACCCUUCUUAUUUAUGUUAAUUGCUUCUAUUUUUUGGAGUUUUUAUAAAAAAAUAUACUAUAGCGAUUUAAUAUAUAUGAGAUAAAAAGGUGAUUGAAAAAUAUUUUCACGGCAAACAUUAAAUUUUUUUUGGAAAAAAAUAGCUUGCCAAACAAGGCCUUAACUUUUCUGAUACCUUGACAUUCUCAAUACUAAACUUUAUGGACUUAAUUAAUCUAUUUUGUUUUUUCUUUUUUGUUUUGGGUGGGGGGGGAAAUUGUGGAUGGCAUUGGUGGUGGGUAAGUUUACUUAUGAAAAUGCUUCUGAAAUUUGCUAAUUGACCUUAGUAGAAAUUAUGCAGCAGACAUACAUGUACGUGAAUUCUAAUUUUAUUACGUGCUGCUUGUGAUUGUGGAGUAUUAAAUUUAAGAUUUUUCUAACGAAUACCUAAUAAACACCCGUUAAUACACCUAAAUCACAUCUAACUGAUCAUGUUAAUGCACACAUUAACAAUAUAUAUUAAAUUUAAGAUUUUUUUAGCGAAUGCCUAAUAAACACCCGUUAAUGUACCUAAAUCACAUCUAACUGAUCAUGUUAAUGCACACAUUAACAAUUAAUACCUUUUUAUAUAUUUAUAUAUUUUACUUAAUUAACUUUACUUUUCCAAAAAAUUUGAUACAUGAACUAUAUAUUAACGAGUGCCUGCUAAUCAAUUAAGUUGAUCUAUAGAGUGAUGAAAACGUAUACAUCUAGAGUAGUUCUAAUAACGUACACGCAAUCAAUAAACCUUCUGUCUGGAUUGUUAGCUGGGAUUCAAUAUCCAAUACCUUAUGAACAAAAAAGUACAUUUUACUUCACGAAAAAACAGAAAACGAAACACCGAAAUAAAUGAGCACUUUCCAGAACUUGCAUAAUAAGUGCUACAUCAGAAGUUUCCCUAUUUGUGUAAACUCAUAGGAGGAAUACACGGGUUUGAUCCUUUUUUGCCUUUUAUUUUUGGAUAUUGUCACAAUUUCGUUUUGUUUUUUAUAAUGUGUAUAAUUAAGGGAGAUAUUAAUAAUUUAAGUAUUUAACCAUUGAUUAACUAGAAAGAUAUUCUAAAAGAAUAAAAUGAUUAUCGUUUAAAUUUAAGAAGAUCAUUUUAUACACACAACGCCAGCUCAAUCUAACUGGCAAACAAAAUUAAUUGCUGAAAUUUGUUUUCUAGCUAAUUAUUUAAAUUUAGUUUCAUGAGUAAAAAAGAAAAAGGACAAGUUUUUUUAUACAUCACCUAAAAGUGAUACUUUUCUUUAAAAAUUGUAAACGUAUAUGAAUAAAUGUGUACAAAUGCUUAUAUACAGAACUCUCUACCUACACAAGAGACAGAGAAGAGAGAAUCAAAGGUGUAUAAGAGCUUUGGAAAAAUAGUCUCCAUUUGUCCAAAUUGUAAAAGCUCAUACAGAUUUUUUUCCCAUGCAUUUCUAUCCCAUUAUUUUUCCUCUGAUAUUCAUGUAAAAUCUUUGGCAUAAAAAUGACCCCUUGGACUCACAAAGAUCAGGAGGAAGCUUCCUAGGUACCAUCCUCCUCAGUCCCACCUUUUUGUCUUGGUUAUUUAAGCAACCUUUUCUCAACUUCUCUCAGUUUCCCUCGAUACAUCUUCCCCAAACAGCCUGAUAACAAACCCUAUUGGAAGCUGUGUUUCAAACCACGUCCAUGGCUUCCAAGAACCUCCAAAAUAUCAUUCUUCUCUACAAGAUCAUUCUCAUUUGUGGGCUGUGUUUGGUUUACUCAAAAACUGAACUUCCAAGGUUUGAACAUCCCAUCAAACCUGAUGGAUCGCUCAGUAUCUUGGUUGUUGGAGACUGGGGAAGAAGAGGAGCUUAUAACCAAACAGAAGUUGCAGCUCAGGUUCUUAUCUUUCUGUAUUUAUGGAAACAAAUAUUUUCUUGAUUACACUUGACUAGAUGAUAUUUAGAUCACAUUUUUAGAUGGUUUAAUGAAUGUUUUGGAUUUUAUAAAACAAGAAAGAUUAAGUUUAACAAAUCAUUGCUAAUUGUUCUUGGUAGGGUUUGAACUUUUCCAUUAAAUUAUGCAGUAGAUAAGAACAAACACAUGUUGUUAUGGUCAUUAUUGCCGUUUGGAAUCAGACUGCAUUAUUUUGGACCCAAAGAUAUACGUAUGAAAUAUUUAUUUGCUCCGUCGAGAGCAUAUUACAGCUCAGAGGUAUUCAUGAUUCUUCCUGUUUUGAUCAGAAUACAGUGAUACCAAGAAGACAUUAUCAAGACUUAUUAACAAAUUUGAAAAGAUUAACAAUGCCAAGCACAUGUGUAUCAAAAGCCUCUUUGUUUUUUUUUUUUUUACAUUGAUUAAUUAAAAUAUGUGCUCAAGGUCUACUUACAUAUGAUAUAUCAUAACAUACAUACAUAUAUACAUACAAAUUCCAUGGAUUAAUCAAGUUUAUUAUUACACAAAUUCUAAAUUAGGACAAACAUGAUACUUACAUAAAAUCAUUUUUUCAUCCCUAGACAAUAAUCUGGCGAGUGCAUAAUUUAACUCACCAAACUAAACUACAUCCCAUUUCUUGCUUUAGGACAAACAUGAAAUAUGCAUAAUAGUUCUUAAAAAAUUAUAUUGACUGUGUAUUAGUUUACCAUGUGAUUAGUCAAGGCAUUAAUCAAGAAAAUCGUUAUCUUGUUACCCCCAUAACAACAUCUGGCCAUUGCAUGACUAAACUAAACUUUUCUCCCACGUAGCUUUCAACUGUAGUCUUGUGAUGCUUUUCUUGUCCAAUUAAUGCCUCUCUCGUGGGAAAAGGUUUUGUUGCCUAAUUUAUUAGGCAUCCAGUAGUUAACUUUCGUGGUGGAGAUAAGGUAUUAUUCCAUGUAGAUUCGAUGCUGAUUCUCUUAAGAUAAACAAGUAUGGGAACCUACUGGAAGUAGUGGAACUAAAUGUACUCAUCCACCAUUCAGAAAGUUGACAUUUCCUGAUGUCUCUGUCUUCUGAUUUAAGUUUGAUUUUUAGACUAACUUCACUUUGUACCUCCGAAAUUGUAUCGCUUUCUUCCUUUGUAUUUUGAACUUUAAUUUUGAACACUUUGUACCUUGAAUAUUCAAUUUUGAAUACUUCGUACUCUAAACUCUUUAAGUUUAUCCCUUUAAAUCUAAUAAACGACAAAGUUAGCAAUAUUCAUGAGAUAAAGGGUGGUUAAAUUAAUGACAAUGUAUAGUUUUGUUCUACCUGUAAUCCCUUAGCUCCUGUUUACUAUUUUUAUGACAUUAUUAGUGAUUCAUAUGAUCCCAAUUAUGAAUAUUAUUAGCAAAAUUGACAAGACAAUGAAUGAUACAAAUUAUAAUAAUGUAUCAUUUUCUUCUAAAUGUGAUACCUUGGUUGCUUUUGAUCACUUCUAACACAUUUUCAUUGACUUGUAUAGUCAUUUAUGGUAUUAUAAGUUUACUAACGUUGCCAUUGAUGGGAUUUAAAUAGGACAAAAUUGAGAGUUCAAGAUACAAAGUGCCUAAAGUUAAAAGUUUAAGUUGCAAAUUAUUCAAAAUCAAAGUUUAGAGUGCAAAAUAAGAAGGUGAUACAAGUUUAAAGGUAUAAAAUGGAGUCCAUCCUUGAUUUUUUAAAAUUUUUUCUAGUAGAAGAGGGUGAAAUUUAAAAAGUGGUGAGGGAGUAGGAGGAUUAGAUCCAGAACCUCUUACUCCUAUAAAUUUUGAUUUAUUUCUAGAAAAUCUAGGACAUGUAUAUAAGUGAUUUGACAUUAAUAAUUUGCACUAUGACAAUUGGGUACAUAUUCCGUUGAAUUAUUAAUUCUUGGACCCAUGCCAAAGGGAGGAAAAAAAAAACAUCUUGGACCCAUGCAAAUGCGCAUUUGAACGAGAAGUUAGUCACAUGAUUGAUUAAAUUUAAGAAAAUCCUUUUGUACACGCAACGCAAGUUCAAUCUAACAAGCAAAAAAAAGUAAUUGCUGAAUUCGUUUUCUAGGUAGUUAAUUAAGUUAGUUUCAUCAUGAGUAAAAAAAGAAAAAAGACAAGUUUUUUUCUUAAGUCAUGGUGAUGCAAUGGGACCAACUACUACACCUUCCAUCUCCUAAAAGUGAAACUUUUCUUUAUAAAAUGUACAUGUAUAUGAAUAAAUGUGUACAAAUGCUUAUGCAGAGAACUCUAUACCCAGACAACACGCACACACAGAGUCAAACGUGUAAAGGAGCUCCGAAUAAAUAGUCUCCAUUUGUCCAAAUUGUAAAAGCUCAAAACAGAUUUUUAUCCCAGGUUCCAUCCCAUUCAAGAAACUUUUCUAUCCUCUGAUUUUGUCCAUGCAUAAAAAUGACUCCUUGGACUUACACAGAUCAGGAGGAAGCUUCCUAGGUACCAUCCUCCUCAGUCCUACCUUUCUGUCUGAGUUAUUUAAGCAACCUUUUCUCAGUUUCCCCCCAUACAUCUUACCCCAAACAGCCCUGAUAAUU